rnacentral:misc_RNA from 1 species
UGCGGCGGGCCAACUGGAUGUC